UAGGCAGUUGUUUUAAAUUAAACUUUUAUUUUGUGUCUCCCCCUUCAGCAUCCUGUCCAAGACAAAGCUACCUUUCCUCGUGGGAAUGGACUGGCCGGGCUUUGGCAAUCUGGCCCCUCGAAAGUCUUAAGUGACCUCUUCCAGCAGGGGAAGACUGAAGCAAGGGGUGCCAGAAAGAACUGGAGUUUCUGGAGAAUAAAAGCUGGAAGCGUGCCCCCGAAAAUCCCCCCGGGUGGUCAGUGGUCUGACUUGCAGGGACCGGUGGCCUUGGCCAGGAGCGGUCCUGUGGGAAGCGGCUUUGCCCAGCCUGUAAUUUUAAUUUCCAUUGGCUGCUUGGCAAAGCCCCCCUGAGUGAGCCCCAGUGCCUGGCAUGAGCGGAGCGGGCUUCCAGGGAGGUAUUCACCUGGUCAGCGUCAGGAACCAUCCUAACUGAGGCCUCGGCUCCCUCUUUCCCUUCGGUUGCCAUGGGUGUGCCGGACACCUCUGGCAGGACUAACCCUGUGGCUUUUAUGUCCAACGUGCUGUGCUGUGUGCCUGCAGAUGAGGGAAUCGGGUUCCAAUUCCUAAUGAUUUGGUGGGUGCAGGAAUGAUUUCUGUGUGUUUUCCAGUCCCUUUUGAUUCCUGAGAUGAUUUUAAAAUGAUGGCUUUAGCAAUCAACUAAAUCGGAGAUGUUGUUUUUGAGAGGAAAUGAUGCCAAAUAAAUGCAGAGUUUUGGGUCAGUUUUUGGGAUGAUUUGGGUCAUUUUUUGGGGUCAGUUUGGGGGUCACUGUUUGGGGUGAUUUGGGUCAGUUUUGGGUCAGCUUUUGGGAUGAUUGGGGUCAGUUUUGGGUCAGCUUUUGGGAUGAUUUGGGUCGGUUUUGGGGUCAAUUUUUGGGGAGCACUGGGUGCUACUGGAGGUUGUUGGGGAGCACUGGGAGAGAAGAUGAAAAAUAAAGAGAAUAAAAAAUAAACGAAAUAAAAAAAGGAAAUAUAAAAAACAAAAGAAAAUUAAAAAAAAGGCAAAAAACCUAAAAAGGAAAUAAAA